rnacentral:rRNA from 1 species
UACGGGGGGGGCAAGCGUUGUUCGGAAUUACUGGGCGUAAAGGGCGCGUAGGCGGUUCGCUAAGUCGGAUGUGAAAACUCUGGGCUCAACCCAGAGCCUGCAUCCGAAACUGGCGGGCUAGAGUUCUGGAGGGGGUAGCGGAAUUCCUGGUGUAGCGGUGAAAUGCGUAGAUAUCAGGAGGAACACCGGUGGCGAAGGCGGCUACCUGGACAGAAACUGACGCUGAGGCGCGAAAGCGUGGGGAGCAAACAGG